GUGCGAAGCCAGCCGCAAGAUGAGAACUCCAUUGAGGGUCGUCAGAGACGAUGACGUUGAUAGGAUGCAGGUGUAAAGACAGCGAUGUCAAAGCCGAGCAUUACUAAUUGCCCGAACACUUUCUUUAA
rnacentral:rRNA from 1 species